GCUAGCAUGCUGCUUGCUGUGGCACAACACUACAAUGAAAUAGCUUCCUGUUUCCAUCGCUCGGUCGUCUGCUGCGGCGGAGAAUAUUCUUAUUUGAGUGCUUCGCCGCAUUUUACUUGUCCUUUCUUCUCCAAACUACAGGACCAAUAGUUAGAAAGUGGCCAUGUUGAAGAAGCACUAAACGGUACUUGUGUUCCUCGCGGUAAAUAAUUAGUGUCCUGUAAAAGCUCUGGACAGCUUCAACUCGUUUUUGUGCCAGAGUCGCAGAGUGUGCCAUGGCAGGUGUUAGUUUCCGGCAACAACGGCUUAGUGGGUGUAUGUACGUACUGUCAGGCUAGUUAUUUGUGCCCAGCGAGUGUGACCCAUGCGUAUCGUCGCUGAAGCCCUGGACAACUCUCAGAGUCAUACUCAUAGGCAGCGUGCACUUCGUGGUCCUCCUGAUGGACACAGCUAGUUGACGACUCAGUCAUUUAAUUAUGAUAUCGACAGCACAGCUAAACCUGGCCGUCGACUUGGCAUGGCGUAGCUACGUACAGUAAGCAGCUACUGCGCUAUAUGUAGUUCUGCGCUAGGGAGGAGAGUGUCUCAUGGCGAAGCAAAGGAGUCAUGCUGUGCUACAGCUACACGCGUUCCGGGCUAGCACCAGUCACUCAGUAGCGGAGUGGAGGGUGGGCUACUGCUUCCAGCACUUGUUUUCUCAUCUGACAUCAGAAUUCAGGUCUAUUCCUGUCUCUUGUCAUGCAAGUGUGUGCAUGUUUGCAUGGGUGCUAGAAGGCAACUCGGAGCUCCGUCGCAGGAAAAGGACACAGGGGGACAGCAAGAAGGCAAGCCAGCAAGAAGCAAGCCGGCGAAGAAAAUUCAUGCGAAGAAAAUUCUAUAGUAUUGGCCAUCCCGAACC